GACGAACGCUGGCGGCGUGCUUAACACAUGCAAGUCGAACGGAAAGGCCCUGCUUUUGUGGGGUGCUCGAGUGGCGAACGGGUGAGUAACACGUGAGUAACCUGCCCUUGACUUUGGGAUAACUUCAGGAAACUGGGGCUAAUACCGGAUAGGAGCUCCUGCUGCAUGGUGGGGGUUGGAAAGUUUCGGCGGUUGGGGAUGGACUCGCGGCUUAUCAGCUUGUUGGUGGGGUGGUGGCUUACCAAGGCUUUGACGGGUAGCCGGCCUGAGAGGGUGACCGGCCACAUUGGGACUGAGAUACGGCCCAGACUCCUACGGGAGGCAGCAGUGGGGAAUAUUGCACAAUGGGCGGAAGCCUGAUGCAGCAACGCCGCGUGCGGGAUGACGGCCUUCGGGUUGUAAACCGCUUUCGCCUGUGACGAAGCGUGAGUGACGGCAAUGGGUAAAGAAGCACCGGCUAACUACGUG
rnacentral:rRNA from 1 species